GAUCUCAAAACUUUUUAAUCGUUCACAAUUGCUACUUAAACCAUAAUUAUAUUUUAGGGAAUGGGCGAGUGGCACGAAUUGUCAUGGCUGCUGCUGUAAAGAAUCUGACACCUGUAGUCUUAGAACUUGGAGACAAAUCUCCUGUUUUGGUCGAUUCAAACAUCGACUUAGUGUUACAAUUGAAGGUACGGAGUUCCUGAUGGGUGUGAUGUGGAUCGGGACGAGGAGACGUCUCGGAUACAAUGCUGGUGAACUAAAGAGGGAGGAUUUGAAAGGCUAGGCUUCUGCUACACACCCGACUACAACGAUGAUUUGGGAUUGUAAGGCGUCUGCUACUUCUGGUGAUCUUAUUAGGCUUAAUGGUGGUGGUGUGUUGAUUUAGUCGUCUGCAAAUCCUCCUAACCGAGUUGAUUCUGUAUCUGGUGUUGAUGAACUAUUCAUGUUAGGGCUUCGGUGGUGCCGAUUAGUUUUGAGACAUUAUGCAACAUGGCUAGGUUAAUGGAAGAAAUACAUAGGUGGCAAUGACUAGCUAUGCAGAAGGUAUUUUUAUAGCGUUUUCAUCAGGUUUUUAUUUCGUUUUCUUCUUGCAGUUUACGAAACUACACUUGAUCGACGUUGAUAAUAUUCUAUUUUAAAAAUGCUUUCUGAUCUUAUACACUUUUGUAGAAGUAAAUUAGGGCUCGAAAUUGGCCCAAAUUUUUAUGAUCUUUUUAGUUAAGUUUGUCAUUCUAGUAACAUUAGCAUGGAAAUACCAUGUUAUAUUUAACACAAGAUUCGUAUGAUCAGUAAACCACUAAAAUCUGUUAAUGCGUUGGAAAGAUUGUAAUUCAUAUUUUAUAAAGUUAAUCAAUAUCAUUAUUGUCUCAUGACAAAGAUCUCUCAGUUGACACAUGUGAAUGAAACGAAGAAAAAGAUAGAAACGUUAGCAAGGAUUUCUAUUGUAUCAAAAUGUAGGGAUGAGCUUGGUACCAACCAGUACCGAAAAUCACAAAAAAUACGUACCGGUAUCGAAAAUAACCGGUAUGGUACGGACCGGUAAUUGAAGGUAAAAACCAGUACCGAAAACGCUGAAUGUCGGUACCGAAAAUCAAGUCGGGUCGGGAAAGUACCCGUACCGGUUCUGAACCGGUACCUGAUACCAUUUGCUCAUCCCCUCGAAAGGUGUCAUCGGUAAUAUAGUAAUAUUUCAAAUUUUAAUCAAAAGUGAACGUUUGUAAAAACUUUUUAUAUCCAUAUUUAGUUAGCGCAUACAAUAUUUAUUAAAUUCAAGAAAUAUUUAUCAAAUUCAAGGAAUGGGCAAAAAGUAUAUGAGGGUUGUUUUAUCCGUUUUAAAUUUACCCCUCAUACAACUAUUUGACCUGGACAUGCAGGAGAAGCAAAGUCUUUGAAGGUUGAAAAGAGACACAAAUCUAACUAUGGUAUCAGGUAUUUUUUUUUCCUAAAUUCUAAUACCAACUAUUGUUUUAAAAAACAUAGCUUUGGGAAAAUUCACAACAAAAGUUUGUUAUAUAUAUCAUGACACUGUUUUGUACUUUCUGGUGUGUCACAAUUUGAUUUUUUUUUUUUUUUUACUUUUUAGCUAAAGAAUUCAAAAAACUUUAACUCAAUCUGUGUGAUGUGUUGAAUGAAGGAUUUAGAUCUCUUUGAGUUUCCAAUGAGGGAUAACUUUGUUAACUACUUUUAAUUAAAACAUGCUAUGAACUGUUGUGUGUUAAUUUUUAUCAAGUUUUUUUUCAUUAGAUGGUGGUGACCACAAUUGUAAAAAAAUAAAAAGGAGCCAACAACUUCGAACAACUAGAAAAUAGUUCCCCUGACGACCAUCUCACUUUAACAACUGAGAACUACUAGAAAAAGUAUAGCCUAUAAUCCCUAUUUUUGUUUUUAUUUUUUACGCACCACUUAUCUUAUAGAACUUCUUAUACCUUCCAUCAUCUUUAUUGUAGUGAAUCAUAUUAUUUCAUACUUCUUUUCAGAAUAAGAAUAAGUAUCAUGCCUUUUAGUUAUGAUAUGAAGGUACAUGUGUCAUUGUAGUGGAUGCUUAAAGAAAGGGCUAACAAUAAGGGUUUGGACAAAAAGGUGGAUCUAAAAAUUAGGGAUGAGGAUGGUGGUGAGUUGGAUGUCGUUUUGCUUUUGAGUAUUUGAUGGGCUAUGAAAGAGAUAAUAUCAAGGGAUGGAAGACUUUUGUUAUAGACAAAGGAUUGGUUUUUGAUGAUCAGUGUGAGUUCAGGUUUUUUAAAGCAACAUGUAUAUUAUUGCUUACUGGAUUUGUGAAGAGAGGUUGAAAGAAGGUGGUCAACAUUUUGUUAAUAGUUUUUGUAUAUAAAAGGUACAAUGUCUUUAGUAUGUUGGUUUUAAAAACUUUUGGACAUCAUGUGUUUUACUUAUGGUUUACUUCGUGCACAAACAAAAUUUACAUAUUAUGCAAGUAGGAGGGUUUGUUGCUU
rnacentral:lncRNA from 1 species